rnacentral:SRP_RNA from 1 species
GCCGGGCGCAGUGGCAUGUGCCUGUAGUCCCAGCUACUAGGGAGGCUGAGGCUGGAGGAUCGCUUGAGCCCAGGAGUUCUGGGCUGUAGUGCGCUAUGCCGAUUGGGUGUCCUCAGCAUCAAUAUGGUGACCUCCUGGGAGCAGAGGACCACCAGGUUGCCUAAGGAGGGGUGAACCGGCCCAGGUCGGAAACGGAGCAGGUCAAAACUCCUGGGCUGAUCAGCAGUGGGAUUGCACCUGUGAAUAGUCACUGCACUCCAGCCUGGGCAACAUAGCAAGACCCCAUCUCUA